rnacentral:tRNA from 1 species
GGGGCGGUAGCUCAAAUGGUAGAGCACAUUUUUUUUUCUAGCUCAUUUGAUGUGUUGUAACUCCUUUGGUAUGUAGUUGAAACCGACGAUUUCUGGCCUUGUAAGUGUUUUGCAGGAUGCGGGUUCAAGUCCCGCCCGCCCCA